GAUUAACGCUGGCGGCGUGCAUAACACAUGCCAGUCGAACGAUGAAACUUUACUGACUUCUUCGGAAUGAUUUAAAGCGGAUUAGUGGCGAACGGGUGAGUAACGCGUGAGUAACCUGCCUUACACAAGGGGAUAGCCUCUGGAAACGGAGAAUAAUACCCUAUGAAACCAGACAAUCGCAUGAUAAUCUGGUCAAAAUGUUUAGUAGUGUAAGAUGGACUUGCGUCUGAUUAGCUAGUUGGUGAGAUAAAAGCUCACCAAGGCAACGAUCAGUAGCCGGCUUGAGAGAGUGUACGGCCACAUUGGGACUGAGACACGGCCCAGACUCCUACGGGAGGCAGCAGUGGGGAAUUUUGCACAAUGGGGGAAACCCUGAUGCAGCGACGCCGCGUGAUUUAGAAGGCCUUCGGGUUGUAAAAAUCUUUUGUAUAGGAAGAAAAUGACAGUACUAUACGAAUAAGGUCCGGCUAAUUACGUG
rnacentral:rRNA from 1 species